rnacentral:rRNA from 1 species
GUCGAGCGGACAGAAGGGAGCUUGCUCCCGGAUGUUAGCGGCGGACGGGUGAGUAACACGUGGGUAACCUGCCUGUAAGACUGGGAUAACUCCGGGAAACCGGAGCUAAUACCGGAUAGUUCCUUGAACCGCAUGGUUCAAGGAUGAAAGACGGUUUCGGCUGUCACUUACAGAUGGACCCGCGGCGCAUUAGCUAGUUGGUGGGGUAAUGGCUCACCAAGGCAACGAUGCGUAGCCGACCUGAGAGGGUGAUCGGCCACACUGGGACUGAGACACGGCCCAGACUCCUACGGGAGGCAGCAGUAGGGAAUCUUCCGCAAUGGACGAAAGUCUGACGGAGCAACGCCGCGUGAGUGAUGAAGGUUUUCGGAUCGUAAAGCUCUGUUGUUAGGGAAGAACAAGUGCGAGAGUAACUGCUCGCACCUUGACGGUACCUAACCAGAAAGCCACGGCUAACUACGUGCCAGCAGCCGCGGUAAUACGUAGGUGGCAAGCGUUGUCCGGAAUUAUUGGGCGUAAAGGGCUCGCAGGCGGUUUCUUAAGUCUGAUGUGAAAGCCCCCGGCUCAACCGGGGAGGGUCAUUGGAAACUGGGAAACUUGAGUGCAGAAGAGGAGAGUGGAAUUCCACGUGUAGCGGUGAAAUGCGUAGAGAUGUGGAGGAACACCAGUGGCGAAGGCGACUCUCUGGUCUGUAACUGACGCUGAGGAGCGAAAGCGUGGGGAGCGAACAGGAUUAGAUACCCUGGUAGUCCACGCCGUAAACGAUGAGUGCUAAGUGUUAGGGGGUUUCCGCCCCUUAGUGCUGCAGCUAACGCAUUAAGCACUCCGCCUGGGGGAGUACGGUCGCAAGACUGAAACUCAAAGGAAUUGACGGGGGGCCCGCACAAGCGGUGGAGCAUGUGG